rnacentral:rRNA from 1 species
UACGAGGGGGGCAAGCGUUGUUCGGAAUUAUUGGGCGUAAAGGGUGCGUAGGCGGCCUUAGAAGUCAGAUGUGAAAGCCCCGGGCUCAACCUGGGAAUGGCAUUUGAUACUCUGAGGCUGGAGUACGGGAGAGGAGAGUGGAAUUCCCAGUGUAGAGGUGAAAUUCGUAGAUAUUGGGAAGAACACCGGUGGCGAAGGCGGCUCACUGGCUCGUAACUGACGCUCAGGCGCGACAGCGUGGGGAUCAAACAGG